rnacentral:rRNA from 1 species
AUACGUAGUGGGCGAGCGUUGUCCGGAAUGAUUGGGCGUAAAGGGCGCGUAGGCGGCCCGGUAAGUCUGGAGUGAAAGUCCUGUUUUUAAGAUGGGAAUUGCUUUGGAUACUGUCGGGCUUGAGUGCAGGAGAGGUAAGUGGAAUUCCCAGUGUAGCGGUGAAAUGCGUAGAGAUUGGGAGGAACACCAGUGGCGAAGGCGACUUACUGGACUGUAACUGACGCUGAGGCGCGAAAGUGUGGGGAGCAAACAGGAUUAGAUACCCUGGUAGUCCACACUGUAAACGAUGAAUGCUAGGUGUAGGGGGUAUCGACCCCUUCUGUGCCGCAGUCAACACAAUAAGCAUUCCGCCUGGGGAGUACGGCCGCAAGGUUGAAACUCAAAGGAAUUGACGGGG